rnacentral:sRNA from 1 species
UCAUAUUUGGCUAUAAAUCCGCUAACCAAGCCACUUCUUGAUUCCCAAAGCUUUGAUGGUGAAGUCAAAGAUCUUAUGAAUUUUUAGUGUUGAAUCGUAUAACAAGGAAGCACUACUUUACUUUUUGGGAUCUAGUUGAGGUUCUAGUUUUAUAUAUUCAAUCAUACACAUGACAUCUAGUCAUAUUUCACUCCGAAAUGAUAACCAAGAUUCUUCUUGCUUCUCUAAGUAUCAUACUAUA